GAUGAACGCUGGCGGCGUGCCUAAUACAUGCAAGUCGAGCGAACAGAUAAGGAGCUUGCUCCUUUGACGUUAGCGGCGGACGGGUGAGUAACACGUGGGUAACCUACCUAUAAGACUGGAAUAACUCCGGGAAACCGGGGCUAAUGCCGGAUAACAUUUAGAACCGCAUGGUUCUAAAGUGAAAGAUGGUUUUGCUAUCACUUAUAGAUGGACCCGCGCCGUAUUAGCUAGCUGGUAAGGUAACGGCUUACCAAGGCAACGAUACGUAGCCGACCUGAGAGGGUGAUCGGCCACACUGGAACUGAGACACGGUCCAGACUCCUACGGGAGGCAGCAGUAGGGAAUCUUACGCAAUGGGCGAAAGCCUGACGGAGCAACGCCGCGUGAGUGAUGAAGGUCUUCGGCUCGUAAAACUCUGUUAUUAGGGAAGAACAAAUGUGUAAGUAACUGUGCACGUCUUGACGGUACCUAAUCAGAAAGCCACGGCUAACUACGUG
rnacentral:rRNA from 1 species